AUACGUAGGGUGCGAGCGUUGUCCGGAAUUACUGGGCGUAAAGAGCUCGUAGGUGGUUUGUCGCGUCGUCUGUGAAAUUCCGGGGCUUAACUCCGGGCGUGCAGGCGAUACGGGCAUAACUUGAGUACUGUAGGGGAGACUGGAAUUCCUGGUGUAGCGGUGAAAUGCGCAGAUAUCAGGAGGAACACCGGUGGCGAAGGCGGGUCUCUGGGCAGUAACUGACGCUGAGGAGCGAAAGCAUGGGUAGCGAACAGGAUUAGAUACCCUGGUAGUCCAUGCCGUAAACGGUGGGCGCUAGGUGUAGGGGUCUUCCACGACUUCUGUGCCGUAGCUAACGCAUUAAGCGCCCCGCCUGGGGAGUACGGCCGCAAGGCUAAAACUUAAAUGAAUUGACGGG
rnacentral:rRNA from 1 species